ensembl:rRNA 5S_rRNA 5S ribosomal RNA
GCUUACGACCACACCGGCCUGAGUACGCCUGAUCUCGUCUGAUCUCGGAAGCUAAGCAGGGUCGGGCCUGGCCUGGUUAGUACUUGGAUGGGAGACUUCCUGGGAAUACCAGGUGCUGUAAGCU